UGGGGAAUAUUGCACAAUGGGCGCAAGCCUGAUGCAGCCAUGCCGCGUGUAUGAAGAAGGCCUUCGGGUUGUAAAGUACUUUCAGCGGGGAGGAAGGCGAUAAGGUUAAUAACCUUGUCGAUUGACGUUACCCGCAGAAGAAGCACCGGCUAACUCCGUGCCAGCAGCCGCGGUAAUACGGAGGGUGCAAGCGUUAAUCGGAAUUACUGGGCGUAAAGCGCACGCAGGCGGUCCGUCAAGUCGGAUGUGAAAUCCCCGGGCUCAACCUGGGAACUGCAUUCGAAACUGGCAGGCUAGAGUCUUGUAGAGGGGGGUAGAAUUCCAGGUGUAGCGGUGAAAUGCGUAGAGAUCUGGAGGAAUACCGGUGGCGAAGGCGGCCCCCUGGACAAAGACUGACGCUCAGGUGCGAAAGCGUGGGGAGCAAACA
rnacentral:rRNA from 1 species